UAGAGUUUGAUCCUGGCUCAGAGCGAACGCUGGCGGCAGGCCUAACACAUGCAAGUCGAGCGCCCCGCAAGGGGAGCGGCAGACGGGAGAGUAACACGUGGGAACGUACCCUUCAGUUCGGAACAACCAAGGGAAACAUUGGCUAAUACCGAAUACGUCCGUAAGGAGAAAGAUUUAUCGCUGAAGGAUCGGCCCGCGUCUGAUUAGCUAGUUGGUGGGGUAAUGGCCCACCAAGGCGACGAUCAGUAGCUGGUCUGAGAGGAUGAUCAGCCUCACUGGGACUGAGACACGGCCCAGACUCCUACGGGAGGCAGCAGUGGGGAAUAUUGGACAAUGGGCGCAAGCCUGAUCCAGCCAUGCCGCGUGGAUGAUGAAGGCCCUAGGGUUGUAAAGUCCUUUCGGCGGGGAAGAUAAUGACGAUACCCGCAGAAGAAGCCCCGGCUAACUUCGUGCCAGCAGCCCCGGUCAA
rnacentral:rRNA from 1 species